UACACUCCUGCGGGAGGCAGCAGUGGGGAAUAUUGCACAAUGGGCGCAAGCCUGAUGCAGCCAUGCCGCGUGUAUGAAGAAGGCCUUCGGGUUGUAAAGUACUUUCAGCGGGGAGGAAGGCGAUAAGGUUAAUAACCUUGUCGAUUGACGUUACCCGCAGAAGAAGCACCGGCUAACUCCGUGCCAGCAGCCGCGGUAAUACGGAGGGUGCAAGCGUUAAUCGGAAUUACUGGGCGUAAAGCGCACGCAGGCGGUCUGUCAAGUCGGAUGUGAAAUCCCCGGGCUCAACCUGGGAACUGCAUUCGAAACUGGCAGGCUAGAGUCUUGUAGAGGGGGGUAGAAUUCCAGGUGUAGCGGUGAAAUGCGUAGAGAUCUGGAGGAAUACCGGUGGCGAAGGCGGCCCCCUGGACAAAGACUGACGCUCAGGUGCGAAAGCGUGGGGAGCAAACAGGAUUAGAAACCCCUGUAGUCCCAUG
rnacentral:rRNA from 1 species